GUCACAGUAGCUCAGUUGGUAGAGCAUUGGACUCUUAAUCCAAAGGUCCUGAGUUUGAUAUCAAUAGUGGCA